rnacentral:rRNA from 1 species
UGGGGGAUAAGCUCCAUUGUCGAGAGGGAAACAGCCCAGAUCGCAGGUUAAGGUCCCUAAGUGUAAGCUAAGUGGGAAAGGUAGUUGGAUUGCCCAGACAGCUAGGAGGUUGGCUUAGUGGCAGCCAUCCUUUAAAGAGUGCGUAACAGCUCACUAGUCGAGGAAUCCUGCACCGAAGAUGUAAUGGGGCUAGAGUUUACCACCGAUACCGCGACUUUCAUGAUUUUUCAUGGAGGGGUAGGGGAGCGUUGCCAGGGCGUUGAAGCUGUAGUGUAAGCUAUUGUGGAGCGCUGGGAAGUGAGAAUGCCGGCAUGAGUAGCAAUAAUCUUGGUGAGAAUCCAAGACACCGAAAACCCGAGGUUUCCUACGCAAUGUUGAUCAGCGUAGGGUUAGUCGGUCCUAAGCCGUAGCGAGCAAGCGAAGGCGAUGGAUGACAGGUCAAAAUUCCUGUACCACCAGUAUACCGUUUUAAGGUGAAGGGGGGACACGAGAAGAUAGACGUGGCGUACCUAUUGGACAUGGUACGUUUGCUUUUGAAGGUCAUGCCAACGUAGGCAAAUCCGCGUUGGCGUUAUGAACUGAGGAUUGUGAAAACUUUAGGGCAUUAGCCCUAAGGGAUUACGUUGAAUCUAUAUCGGCAAGAAAAUCCUCGUCACUAGGGAUACGGGUGACCGUACCGAUAACCAACACAGGUGGGUGGGGGUAAACGCCCCAAGGUGUACGUGAGAAACCUCGUUAAGGAACUCGACAACUUGGCCCUGUAACUUUGGGAUAAAGGGUGCCCACGAGGUGAACUCUAUUUACUAGAGGGAUGCCUUUGUGGGUCGCAGCGAAGAGGCUCGGGCGACUGUUUAUCAAAAACAUAGGUCUCUGCUAAGCCGAAAGGCGAUGUAUAGGGGCUGAUGCCUGCCCAGUGCCGGAAGGUUAAGGCGACUUGUUCGGUGUGUUUCGGCACACCAAAGCUCGUUUCCGAAGCCCCGGUGAACGGCGGCCGUAACUAUAACGGUCCUAAGGUAGCGAAAUCCCUUGUCGGGUAAGUUCCGACCCGCACGAAUGGCAUAACGACCUGAGCGUUGUCUCAACGAGGUACACGGUGAAAUUGCAUGGCCAGUAAAGAUGCUGGCUACCCGCAGCAGGACAAAAAGACCCCGUGGAGCUUUACUGUAGCUUGGCAGUGAGUCGGGUUUAUGGUUGUGUAGGAUAGGCGGGAGACAGUGAAGGCUCAACGCCAGUUGGGCUGGAGUCAACCUUGAAAUACCGCUCUUCUAUUGAUUUGAUUCUAACUUUAUGUAAUUAGAGGACCCUGCCAGGUGGGCAGUUUGACUGGGGCGGCCGCCUCCUAAAGAGUAACGGA